UUGUAAUGGGACACCUCUCUCUCUCUCUCUCUCUCUCUCUCUCUCUCUCUCUCUCUCACACACACACACAGAGAGAGAGAGAGAGAGAGAGAGAUUAAUUUACUUG